CGGUGCUUUUUAAGCCAUGGA
rnacentral:misc_RNA from 1 species